rnacentral:rRNA from 1 species
ACUCAAAUGAAUUGACGGGGACCCGCACAAGCAGUGGAGUAUGUGGUUUAAUUCGAAGCAACGCGAAGAACCUUACCAGGUCUUGACAUCCCUCUGAAUACAUUAGAGAUAGUGUAGGCCUUCGGGACAGAGGAGACAGGUGGUGCAUGGUUGUCGUCAGCUCGUGUCGUGAGAUGUUGGGUUAAGUCCCGCAACGAGCGCAACCCUUGAUUUUAGUUGCCAGCAUUCAGUUGGGCACUCUAGAAUGACUGCCGGUGACAAACCGGAGGAAGGUGGGGAUGACGUCAAAUCAUCAUGCCCCUUAUGACCUGGGCUACACACGUACUACAAUGGCCGGUACAACGGGGUGCAAUACCGCGAGGUGGAGCGAAUCCUUAAAAGCCGGUCUCAGUUCGGAUUGCAGGCUGCAACUCGCCUGCAUGAAGUCGGAAUUGCUAGUAAUCGCGGAUCAGCAUGCCGCGGUGAAUACGUUCCCGGGUCUUGUACACACCGCCCGU